CAGAUUUCUGUGAAAAUCUUAUGGAGUAUGGUGACUUUGCACAGUUGAGAGGUGUAUGUGAAUGUCAUCUUUUUCUAGCAAAAAUCAUUGUUCAAAGUGGCUUACAAAAGAUGUGGUUUAUAUAAAAACAAUAUACAUUGACAAUCAAUAGCAAAGGUAAAAAAAAAAAAAACUGAAUCAGAUGGGACAAUAAAAUUAAAGAACUGCCAGGACCUCUCUUUGCUACCUCACUUCCAAUGGACCCAAGGUUGUGACCAAUAAAAAAACAUCAAUCCAAUUAAACAAACAAACAAAUGAACAAUAUAAUAAUAUUUAUAUUGAAAAAGCAUCAUUCAGCAUUUGUCCAAAAGCACAAUGAAAUAAAGGUGCACUUUUGAAAGGCCAGAAGGGUGUGAGUUACAUUUACUAUGUUUCCCCGAAAAUAAGACCCUGUCUUAUAUUUUUUUGAACCCUGAAAUAAGCUUGGCCUUAUUGCCAUGCGCCCGAUUGGACUUAUUAUCAGGGGAUGUCUUACUUUGGGAGGGAAAAGGGUAC